CAGUGGUAGUUGGUGGAGCUGCUGAGCGCCGCCCAGUUGCGAGGCGUAGAUUUGCCUUAAGUGCAGAAUUUUCGUCUCGUUUUUUCCUUUCCAAUAACUACGAAGUUUUGUCCGAUUCAAGCAGAGAGUGAUCGAAGGCAUUUAAUCGAUUUAUCCAAAAAUUUCCGUGAACUGCAUAGUUUUCGCUAUUUUCGUGGCAGAAAAGUUUCUUGCCUCAGACGUUGUUUUGUGUGCCAGUGGAGCGUGGUUGUUAUGUGGAUGGGUUGAGGGACUAGACUUCAGUGCCAGUCACUUGUGCAUUAGCGUCUGCUCACACCUGACUGACUGCACUGA